UAUGGAGGAUGCGAGCGUUAUCCGGAUUUAUUGGGUUUAAAGGGUGCGUAGGCGGAUCGUUAAGUCAGUGGUCAAAUUGAGGGGCUCAACCCCUUCCCGCCAUUGAAACUGGCGAUCUUGAGUGGAAGAGAAGUAUGCGGAAUGCGUGGUGUAGCGGUGAAAUGCAUAGAUAUCACGCAGAACCCCGAUUGCGAAGGCAGCAUGCCGGCUUCCUACUGACGCUGAAGCACGAAAGCGUGGGGAUCGAACAGG
rnacentral:rRNA from 1 species